GACAGAGGCCUCAAGCGUUAGGCGGAAUCACUGGGCUUAAAGCGUGUGUAGGCGGACUUCUAAGUGCCUUGUGAAAUCCCACGGCUCAACCGUGGAACUGCUGGGCAUACUGGGAGUCUUGGGCCAGUUCAGGGGGCAACUGGAACAAGCGGUGGAGCGGAUGAAAUGCGUAGAUAUCGCUUGGAACGCCGAAGGUGAAAACAGGUUGCUGGGGAUGUGCCGACGCUGAGACACGAAAGCCCAGGGGAGCAAACGGG
rnacentral:rRNA from 1 species